CCCCCCCACCCCAGCAGGGGGGUGUCGGUCAGAGGCAGCCGCCAGGUGCUCAAGGGCACCGCUGAGGCCGUCUGGAGGCUUCCAAUCAGAUGGGGGUCACCUGCCCCCCAAAUCCAGGCCCCCCUCGGAAACUGGGGAGCCCCAAUCCAGCGACAGGAUGGGGCCUUUGGAAGGAAGUUCAGGAGCAGCCCCCCCGCCCCGCCUGGCCCUGGAUGAGAAUUUCCGAGCUCGGAAAGUGUUGCCUCCGACGCAGGGGAAUUCGAGGCAAGCCCUCGCCUCGACAGAUGAAGAGGAACUGAUCACAGAACCAAGAAUUAAUGGUAACUUAGGCACCGAGAACCUGCACCCAAGCGUUUGAAAAGAGCUGGCUGAGACUGUUAACGUUGGUUUUCAGUAAGUCUUGGAAGUCCCGGAAGACUGGAGGAAAGCUAACGUCGUGCCAGUAUUUUAAAAGGGUAAAGGGCACGACCCAGGGAAUUAUCGACCUGUCAGUUUGAAAUCGAUCCUGGGCAGGAUAAUGGAGCAGCUGAUACGGGAGUCAACUAAUAAAGAAUCACAGAAAGAUGAUA